UGGGCUAAGAGAGGUCUCUGUGUGUCUCA
rnacentral:piRNA from 2 species